CCUACGGGUGGCAGCAGUGAGGAAUAUUGGUCAAUGGACGAGAGUCUGAACCAGCCAAGUAGCGUGAAGGAUGACUGCCCUAUGGGUUGUAAACUUCUUUUAUAUGGGAAUAAAAUGUUCCCCGUUUGGGAUUUUGUAUGUACCAUAUGAAUAAGGAUCGGCUACCUCCGUGCCAGCAGCCGCGGUAAUCCGGAGGAUCCGAGCGUUAUCCGUAUUUCUUGGGUUUAAAGGGAGCGUAGGUGGAUUGUUAAGUCAGUUGUGAAAGUUUGCGGAUCAACCGUAAAAUUGCAGUUGAAACUGGCAGGCUUGAGUACAGUAGAGGUGGGCGGAAUUCGUGGUGUAGCGGUGAAAUGCUUAGAUAUCACGAAGAACUCCGAUUGCGAAGGCAGUUCACUGGACUGCAACUGACACUGAGGCUCGAAAGUGUGGGUAUCAAACAGGAUUAGAUACCCUAGUAGUC
rnacentral:rRNA from 1 species